AUUGAACGCUGGCGGCAGGCCUAACACAUGCAAGUCGAACGAGAGGCGGAGGGGGGAGAAAUGUCUGUGAAGCUGCGCGUUGGGGGGGGGUAACGACUGGAAAAGGUAGCUAAAAUAGCGUACCAUCGGAUGUGCCCCGAUGGGGGUAGAUUUUAGGUGAGGGAACGGCUCACCGAGGCGACGAUCCCUAUCUGGUGUGAGAGGAUGACCAGCCACACUGGGACGGAGACACGGCCCAGACUCCGACGGGAGGCAGCAGUGGGGAAUAUUGCACAAUGGGCGCAAGCCUGAUGCAGCCAUGCCGCGUGUAUGAAGAAGGCCUUCGGGUUGUAAAGUACUUUCAGUGGGGAGGCGUUACCCGCAGAAGAAGCACCGGCUAACUCCGUGCCAGCAGCCGCGGUAAUUC
rnacentral:rRNA from 1 species